CCUUCCCCGUAGGAGCUGUUCUCUUCAGGAUGUAUUUUCCAGGUCCUGACGCAAGCAGAAGUACAUUGAGAGAUAAGUGCCGAGGGGCAGCCCGCCAGGGCUGGCCCGGUCCCAGCUCCCACGAGAGCAGCCAGCGCUGGCCCCGGGGGCCUGCCUGCCCACCCACCGCCUGCUCAGAGCAGGUCUUUGUGCCCCGGCCCGCAGGUGCGGGGGUGGGAUGGGGUUCUUGGCACUAGCAGCUUUCUGACCACAUGAGACAGCAGUAGGCCAAGGUCUCAACUGUGUAUAAAAAGGGACGCUGCGGCUGCAGUGGUAGGACUCCACCUCGCAGCAGACAAGGAGUUCUCCACCGGUUCUCCAGGGACCUGCACAGCUCACUGCCGCUGAGGACCCAGCAGUCCUGGACCCUGGACGCCGGGUGAUGACUUUUGGUCUCAUCCAGGAGGCAGACGUGCUAGCUAAGGAUGUUGCUAGGCAUUGAGUCCAAGAAACCGUGCUUCCUAACACCUGGGCUGGGUGCGUAACUUGGUGGCAGUGUGCUUUCCUAGCAUGUAUGAGGCCUUAGGUUUCAUCCCCAGCACCACAAAAAAGGAAAGAAAAGGCAAUAAAGUUAAUUUCACUUAAAUUUACUGUAGUAAAGCUGAAAAAAAAUAAAACAUUCAGAUAAAGCUG